UUCUCCAGGGAUGCUGCCUGACCUGCUGAGUUACUCCCAUAUUUUUUUGCCUUUUUUUUGGCAAACCAGCAUCUGCAGUUCCUCGUAUCUCCACGUUUGUGUGGUUGAUCAGUCCCACUCACUCAAUUUGUCACAAUUUGUCUGAAGAAGUGUCUCGACCCGAAACCAGGGGAAAUCUUUUAGGACCGAGAUGAGGAAAACAUUUUU